UACGUAGGGGGCAAGCGUUGUCCGGAAUCAUUGGGCGUAAAGAGCGCGUAGGCGGCCCAGUAAGUCCGCUCUGAAAGUCAGGGGCUCAACCCCUGGAUGCGGGUGGAUACUGCUGGGCUAGAGUCCGGAAGAGGCGAGUGGAAUUCCUGGUGUAGCGGUGAAAUGCGUUGAGAUCGGAAGGAACGCCCGUGGCGAAAGCGAGGUCCUGGACGCCUACUGACGCUGAGACGCGAAAGCCAGGGGAGCGAACGGG
rnacentral:rRNA from 1 species